AAUUGCUCAAUAACUCCUGUAUGAAGAAUUGUUGCGAGAGGAAAGUGUUGAGCGAAGUUGGAAGCGUCUUUAACUGCGUAAAACCUUCAUAACAUGGAAUUUGUAAGGACUUUUGAAACCAUCUGCGAGGAUAUAACUAUAGUGGAACUCCACUGAUUCCUCCAAAGGACAUAUACAGGGAAGUGAUACUACCACUAAGAAUUGAAUAAUUAAACGACUACCAACUCGCUAGAGUUGCCAUAACCAACACUACAUCACGGAUGGAAGAUUAACUACAAAAUAUAUGUUAUCGGAAAAUAAAACAUUAUUACAAUCA